rnacentral:rRNA from 1 species
AGCGGUGAAAUGCGCAGAUAUCAGGAGGAACACCGAUGGCGAAGGNCAGGUCUCUGGGNCAUUAACUGACGCUGAGGAGCGAAAGCAUNGGGGAGCGAACAGGAUUAGAUACCCUGGUAGUCCAUGCCGUAAACGUUGGGCACUAGGUGUGGGGGACAUUCCACNUUUUCCGCGCCGUAGCUAACGCAUUAAGUGCCCCGCCUGGGGAGUACGGCCGCAAGGCUAAAACUCAAAGGAAUUGACGGGGGCCCGCACAAGCGGCRGAGCAUGCGGAUUAAUUCNAUGCAACGCGAAGAACCUUACCAAGGCUUGACAUGGACCGGACCGCCGCAGAGAUGUGGUUUCUCCUUUUGGGGCCGGUUCACAGGUGGUGCAUGGUUGUCGUYWGCUCGUGUCGUGAGAUGUUGGGUUAAGUCCCGCAACGAGCGCAACCCUCGUUCCAUGUUGCCAGCGCGUAAUGGCGNGGGACUCAUGGGAGACUGCCGGGGUCAACUCGGAGGAAGGUGGGGANGACGUNCAAAUCAUCAUGCCCCUUAUGUCUUGGGCUUCACGCAUGCUACAAUGGCCGGUACAAAGGGUUGCGAUACUGUGAGGUGGAGCUAAUCCCAAAAAGCCGGUCUCAGUUCGGAUUGGGGUCUGCAACUCGACCCCAUGAAGUCGGAGUCGCUAGUAAUGGCAGAUCAGCAACGCUGCGGUGAAUACGUUCCCGGGCCUUGUACACACCGCCCGUCAAGUCACGAAAGUUGGUAACACCCGAAGCCGGUGGCCUAAC